GGACAAUCUCCCCAUUCUCCAGGUCACUUGAUUAGCAACCUACACGCCCCCUUGCCGUGUAAGUGGGCUGUCAGCUUCCUGAGAAGAGAGACUGGCUUCACAUUCCCAGGGACAGACACCUGCUAGGAGCUUCGCCAACGCUCGUGCAUGAAUGAAUGACUGAUGGGGGGCCUGCCAACUUCUCUCAUUGCCGUGUGUCCAGAGGAAACUCAGUGCCACAGUGAUCUGACAUCCGCCAUCGCUGAUGUAAAAAACACGCAAAAAACUUGGCUCUAAUUGUUGGAAACGUUGCAUCAUUUCUUUUUCUCCUUGAACUUGUAAUCUGCUGGCAAGAUUUGAUGAAAAUACCUCCUGUUUUUAUGCUUGGAAGUCUUUUAUUGAUCAUUACUGCAACAAAAACACGUAUAAAUUAAACUUGAAAAUUUGCAAAUGUCUGUGACCACAAUGCUUUCAGUGUUUCACACAUGAUUCUGAAUUGCAUUAUCCCAGCAAUUAUGAGUGCGGCACAAUUGACGAAAACAAUGUAACAAUAGCGGGGCUGUUUUUCCAUUAAUUCACGUAUUGAUGAAUGAAUACUACUUAUGGUUAUGAAGGGACAGCUUUCAGCACCAAUGCUAUCCUGCUCCAUUUCUUCUUUUUAA
rnacentral:lncRNA from 1 species